rnacentral:precursor_RNA from 10 species
AACGGAAGACCACUUGCUGCUCUGGUCGCUGGGACUUUGGACUUUGUCAUCAGCGACAAGACUCAGACUGCUGUGACGAGUUCCGACGACCUUGCGGACGAGCGCUUUCCGGCGUCUACCGUUG